AUGGAACAAAGCGACAACAGAGACCAGGAAAGAGAUGCCAUAUACAUUGAAAGGGUGAAUAAGCCCCGUAGACAGGAAUUUUUUUGUGGAAGCCGAAAAAUCCGUCUUGGUUCCUCCCACCGAAGAAGGGAGAAAAAAAACGAGAGAUUGUUGAUGUACAUUAUUUGUAAACCUGUACAGUUUUUCCUUUUCGGAGCAGAAUCAUCUUUGGCUGAAUGGUUGCCAAAAAUUCUCAGUUUCUGUUACUACGAUUUGACUCAGUUGCAAUACGUUUUGGAGAGUAGUCGACACUUUGCAAGUUAUCAGCUCAUGAUUUUAUUUUCUCGUUCAGAUUAG
rnacentral:rRNA from 1 species